rnacentral:rRNA from 1 species
GCAAGUCGAGCGCACCCUUCGGGGCGAGCGGCGGACGGGUUAGUAACGCGUGGGAACGUACCCUUGUCUACGGAAUAGCCAUUGGAAACGAUGAGUAAUACCGUAUACGCCCUUUGGGGGAAAGAUUUAUCGCCGAGGGAUCGGCCCGCGUUAGAUUAGAUAGUUGGUGGGGUAAUGGCCUACCAAGUCUACGAUCUAUAGCUGGUUUUAGAGGAUGAUC